AGCUGGUGGAAGAACAGUCCACUGUCUCCAGGCUACACCGUGAGCUACAGGAAGCAGAACAUCAGAGGGAUCUCCUGGGCUCCAGAGUAGCUGAGCUGAACUGUGACAUCCAGCAGAAAGACUGCAGGCAGCUCACAGAGCAGGAUGAGAUGUCCAGUAGAGAUGAGACAGUUCUGAGACUGACGGCAGACCUGCGGGCCGCUCAGGAGAAUCUGACCGCUGCACAAGAGGAGCUGGCAGAGCAGAUGCAGCAGGUCAUGUCUAGGGAAGAGGAGGUCGUGGCCCUGCAGAAGGAGGUGAGCAGACUUCAGGAGAUCCUGAAACAGAGAGAAGAAAUGAUGGAGAAGAACAAACACAACACAACACAGCUCCAGCGAGAGACAGACUUCCUUUACAGACAGGUACACACACAAAGUACAAACACACAAAAAAUCACAAAUUGGCCAGU
rnacentral:lncRNA from 1 species